rnacentral:rRNA from 1 species
UACGAGAGGCCCAAACGUUAUUCGGAAUUACUGGGCUUAAAGAGUUCGUAGGCGGCAUUGCAAGUAGGGUGUGAAAGCCCUCGGCUCAACCGAGGAAUUGCGCUCUAAACUGCAGUGCUUGAGGAAGCUAGAGGUGAGCAGAACAGAUGGUGGAGCGGUGAAAUGCGCUGAUAUCAUCUGGAAUACCGGAGGCGAAGGCGGCUCACUGGGGCUUUUCUGACGCUGAGGAACGAAAGCCAGGGUAGCGAACGGG